GCGAGGGUGGUGGAACUGGCAUACACACAGGCCUAAGGAGCCUGGCUCUUUGGAGCGUGAGGGUUCAAAUCCCUCCCCUCGCA
rnacentral:tRNA from 1 species